CAAAGGGUUCUUUUUAGAACCAUCAUAUUUUUGGACGAAGGAAUACU
rfam:Atta cephalotes unplaced genomic scaffold scaffold00020, whole genome shotgun sequence.